UAUCAAGACACUGAUUUUAUACUAAAAAAACAAAGAAAUUAUUGGCAUAUUUCCCUAAAAUAGAUUGAAACAUGAAAAUUGUCUGAUCUGAGAGAUACUGCGGUUCAUGGUCGGUGUCUUAACCCAUUAAAUCCAGACUGAAACCUAUUAUUUUUGUAACUCACAUGGAUUGUAGGGCUACAAAACCCAUAUAUGUGAUUUAGAGAUGUAAUUACAUGUUGUUGGGUGCAUAAACACAGUGCGCCUGUUAUGUUGAGGGAGACACGUGCUCUCUCUUCUUUCUAACGCAGCAGCACUGCCAACACAGCAGACGUGUGUGAGCAUGUAAACAAACAAAAAACGAGCAUUUCCUGGUAUGAAACACCGCAAAAUAGUCAUUAAAGUCAGAUUAAUGUCCAUGUAACAAUGUUAAUAAGUUGAUCUUUUAAUAGAGGUCCAAUUAUGAGCGAGAGGGAAAUAACUCGAGUUAUUAAUGUUGAGAAACUCCGUCUGAAAAGAUCGCUAGCUGCUAAUCGUUAGCUCUGGCUAAUGGAGCGACCGACACCGUGUCAACACUUUAAAGGAACAUUACGCUGUUUUCUAAUAUUAAAAUUAUUAUGUUUUAAUGGGAUUUGUGUACUUUAAUGUAAUGUACAUGUUAAGUGAAUCAUAAAGGAUAAUUUAGUUCAUUGUCAUGAUUAACAGUACAUUAAAAUGGUGCAUAAAAAUGUAACAAUACAGCAAAUAAUUUAGAUAAAUGUUAAAAUACUAAUUGUUUUGAUAUAAGAAAUUCAUAAUAAGCAAUCUGUUACUGUAAGAAUACAAAUGUUGAUGUUCUAUUAGACAUAUGGAACAGAUACAACACAAAACAACUUUGAACUGAACUCUUGAGCUCUUUAAUCAUAAGGAGUAACCGUGGAUUAAAGGAACAAUCAGUAAACUAAAGAACAUUUCAUUGGAGGUUUUCCACCUUCAUAACGGACUAUUUCUAUUGAUUAUUGAUUAUUUGAUUUAUUUAUUGUAUUUUUUAUUUUCCAUUCUUUUAAAAAUUAAAGUCUUGUAUAAGACAUGUAUAUAUAAGUUUUGAGGCAAUAAAUUGUCACUGUUCAACCAUACGUUAAUUUACUCCCUGAAUUAUUCAAGACAACUGCUCAUUGGACCCAGUUAGAUGUUAAUGUCUAAUUACUACUUUUGGUUAGCACUGAGGAUGCUACAUUUUACUACAAUUUAAUUGUGUAAUUGCUAUCUUGUUCAGACUUUUGUUCCUUAUUUACAGUUUUCUGUACAAAAGCCAUAAAAAUGCUUUUUUUUGUUAUUGUUGUACUUUUUUGUUUGUAAAAUGUUUUGAGACUCUAAGUGAUUUUAAGUCAAAGUAAGUUUACUUAAUUAGCAUUUUUGCCUUCAGUAAUGUCGAUGGAGACAUGAAAGGUAGUGAUGUUGCA